GGGAUUGCCUCAGUAACGGCGAGUGAAGCGGCAACAGCUCAAAUUUGAAAUCUGGCCCCUCCGGGGUCCGAGUUGUAAUUUGUAGAGAGUGUUUCGGGUGAGACCACGGUCUAAGUCUGUUGGAACAUUACGUCAUAGAGGGUGAGAACCCCGUAUGCGACCGUGGCUCGAGCCCAUGUGAAGCCUCUUCGACGAGUCGAGUUGUUUGGGAAUGCAGCUCAAAAUGGGUGGUAAAUUUCAUCUAAAGCUAAAUACUGGCUGGAGACCGAUAGCGCACAAGUAGAGUGAUCGAAAGAUGAAAAGCACUUUGGAAAGAGAGUCAAACAGUACGUGAAAUUGUUGAAAGGGAAGCGCUGGCAACCAGACCUGUCCGUAGGCGAUCAGCCGCUGUUCUCAGCGGUGCACUCGUUCUGCGAUCAGGCCAGCAUCGGUUUCGGCGGUCGGAUAAAGGCCCGGGGAACGUAGCUCUCUUUCGGGGGAGUGUUAUAGCCCCGGGCGCAAUGCGGCCAGCCGGGACCGAGGACCGCGCAUUUAUGCUAGGAUGCUGGCGUAAUGGUUGUCAGCGACCCGUCUUGAAACACGGACCAAGGAGUCUAACAUCUAUGCGAGUGUUUGGGUGUCAAACCCAUGCGCGGAAUGAAAGUGAACGGAGGUGAGAACCCUUUAGGGCGCAUCAUCGACCGAUCCAGAAGUUUACGGAUGGAUUUGAGUAUGAGCAUAGCUGUUGGGACCCGAAAGAUGGUGAACUAUGCCUGAAUAGGGUGAAGCCAGAGGAAACUCUGGUGGAGGCUCGCAGCGGUUCUGACGUGCAAAUCGAUCGUCAAAUUUGGGUAUAGGGGCGAAAGACUAAUCGAACCAU
rnacentral:rRNA from 1 species